GCCCUGACCCUGCAGCUCUGGGAGCUCCAGCCCUAGAAUUCUCAGGUGUUUCCAUUCGGUGAUCAACACUGAACACAGAGGACUCACCAUGGAGUUUGGGCUGAGCUGGGUUUUCCUUGUUGCUAUUUUGAAAGGUGUCCAGUGUGAGGUGCAGCUGGUGGAGUCUGGGGGAGGUUUGGUCCAGCCUGGGGGGUCCCUGAGACUCUCCUGUGCAGCCUCUGGAUUCAGCUUCAGUAGCACCAGGAUGAACUGGAUCCGCCAGGCUCCAGGGAAGAGGCUGGAGUGGGUGGCUGACAUAAAGUAUGAUGGAAGUGAGAAAACUAUGUAGACUCUGUGAAGAGCCGAUUCACCAUCUCCAGAGACAACACCAAGAACUCCCUCUAUCUGCAAAUGAACAGCCUGAGAGCUGAGGACACAGCCGUGUAUUACUGUGUGAGAGACACAGUGAGGGGAGCCAGCGCUUCCUGCUGGAGCUGGAUCCGCCAGUCCUCAGUCAAGGGAGUGGAUCAGGGGCAUAGGUCACGAGGGAGCACAAAUUCUAACCCACUCCUCACGAGCUCAGUCACCAUCUCCAGAUCCAUGUCGAAGAACCAAACUUUCUUAAAGUUGAGUUCUGUGACCAACUGCCACAACCUUGUAUUACUGUGA